rnacentral:rRNA from 1 species
CCUGCACUAUUUGACGUUACCUACACGAAGAAGCACCGGCUAACUACCGUGCCAGCAGCCGCGGUAAUACGGAGGGUGCGAGCGUUAAUCGGAAUUACUGGGCGUAAAGACGCAUGCAGGCGGCCUGUUAAGUCAGAUGUGAAAGCCCGGGGCGUUAACCUCGGAAUUGCAUUUGAAACUGGCAGGCUAGAGUCUUGUAGAGGGGGGUAGGAAUUUCAGGUGUAGCGGUGAAAUGCGUAGAGAUCUGAAGGAAUACCAGUGGCGAAGGCGGCCCCCUGGACAAAGACUGACGCUCAGAUGCGAAAGCGUGGGGAGCAAACAGGAUUAGAUACCCUGGUAG